CAGGUCGGUCCCUAUCUGCUGUGGGCGUACGAAACUUGCGAGGAUUCUUCUUUAGUACGAGAGGAUUUGGAAGGACGUUCCUCUGGUGUACCAGUUGUCGCGCUAGCGGCACGGCUGGAUAGCUAAGAACGGAAAGGAUAAACGCUGAAAGCAUAUAAGCGUGAAGCCCGCCUCAAGAUAAGGUUUCGUAGGGUUUAUACCCGAAAGUCCCCUGAAAGACGAUCAGGUUAAUAGGCCGGAUGUGUACGUGCAGUAAUGCACUCAGCUAACCGGUACUAACGGACGAUUGCUUGACCACUCG
rnacentral:rRNA from 1 species